rnacentral:rRNA from 1 species
GGAGUCUGGUCCGUGUCUCAGUACCAGUGUGGGGGACCUUCCUCUCAGAACCCCUACUGAUCGUCGCCUUGGUGGGCCGUUACCCCGCCAACAAGCUAAUCAGACGCAUCCCCAUCCCUUAGCGAUAAAUCUUUGUUCCCAAUCAAAUGCUCUCAAAGGAAUACAUAGGGUAUUAAUCCGACUUUCGCCGGGCUAUGCCCUACUAAGGGGAAGGUUGGAUACGCGUUACUCACCCGUGCGCCGGUCGCCGACAAAGAAAGCAAGCUUCCUUCUCGCUGCCCCUCGACUUGCAUGUGUUAAGCCUGUAGCCAGCGUUCAUC